rnacentral:rRNA from 1 species
GUGAGGAAUAUUGGGCAAUGGGCGAAAGCCUGACCCAGCCACGCCGCGUGAGUGAUGAAGGCCUUCGGGUUGUAAAGCUCUGUGGGGAGGGAAGAAAAAGCGCAGGAGUAACUGCCUGUGUGUUGACGGUACCUCCUUAGCAAGCACCGGCUAACUCUGUGCCAGCAGCCGCGGUAAUACAGAGGGUGCAAACGUUGCUCGGAAUUACUGGGCGUAAAGCGCGUGUAGGCUGACAUGCAAGUCGGGUGUGAAAUCCCAGGGCUCAACCUUGGAACUGCACUCGAAACUGCACGUCUUGAGUACUGGAGAGGGAAGCGGAAUUCCGGGUGUAGAGGUGAAAUUCGUAGAUAUCCGGAGGAACACCAGUGGCGAAGGCGGCUUCCUGGACAGUAACUGACGCUGAGACGCGAAAGCGUGGGGAGCAAACAGGAUUAGAAACCCUUGUAGUCC